AAUUCAGAUUGGGUAAUUGCUGUCUUAAGUUAAAUUUAAGGUGGAGGAAAGUCCGAACUCCGUAGAACAAAGUGCCGGAUAAUGACCGGGGGCUGUAAGGGCAACCUUCCAGCUAAGGAAAGUGCCACAGAAAAGAUACCGUCCCGAUUUUAUCGGGAUAAGGGUGAAAAGGCAGGGUAAGAGCCUACCGCUCCGGUAGUAAUAUCGGGGGUCCUUAAAGAAGGAUCAUUUUUGGCAGAAAUGCCAUAAAAUGACAUGGUAAACCCCACUUGGAGCAAGAUCAAAUAGGGAAAGCGUUCCCGGUAUAUUUGCCCUACUGGGCAUAAAUUUCUUUAGUUUGGGCAUAAAGCUCAAGACUAAACUAUAGAACUGGGAGCAGAAUUGUUCGUUCUGAAUGCUUUCCGGGUAGAUCGCUUGAGUUCCAGAGCAAUCUGGGACCUAGAUAAAUAAUUACCUAUCGGCCCUUUUUAGGGCUGAUAUACAGAAUUCGGCUUAUAGAUCUGAAUACUCA
rnacentral:RNase_P_RNA from 1 species